ACGAUGUUCUACUAGCUGGUGGUGCCUUUGAGGCUUGACUACCGGAGCUAACGCGUUAAGUCGACCGCCUGGGGAGUACGGCCGCAAGGCUAAAACUCAAAUGAAUUGACGGGGGCCCGCACAAGCGGUGGAGCAUGUGGUUUAAUUCGAUGCAACGCGAAGAACCUUACCUGGUCUUGACAUCCUCGAAACUUUUCAGAGAUGAAAUUGUGCCUUCGGGAACCGUGAGACAGGUGCUGCAUGGCUGUCGUCAGCUCGUGUUGUGAAAUGUUGGGUUAAGUCCCGCAACGAGCGCAACCCUUAUCCUUUGUUGCCAGCGUUUCGGCCGGGAACUCUAAGGAUACUGCCAGUGAUAAACUGGAGGAAGGUGGGGAUGACGU
rnacentral:rRNA from 1 species